rnacentral:rRNA from 1 species
UACGUAGGGGGCUAGCGUUGUCCGGAUUUAUUGGGCGUAAAGAGCGUGUAGGCGGCCAGGUAGGUCUGGUGUGAAAACUCGAGGCUUAACCUUGAGAUGUCAUCGGAAACCAUUUGGCUAGAGCCCGGAAGAGGAAAGUGGAAUUCCUGGUGUAGCGGUGAAAUGCGCAGAUAUCAGGAAGAACACCAAUGGCGAAAGCAGCUUUCUGGGACGGUACUGACGCUGAGACGCGAAAGCGUGGGGAGCGAACAGG